UAAUCGAGUAGAGGCGCAUUCAUCAAGAGUAUAUUUCAGGAACUUGAAGGAAGUUAUGACUGAAGUAAAAAGGGAUGAGUGCCGAAACGAUCAGCUGCCUUCCAGCUGGUUGUUGGGGCCCAGUUUAAGAAGCUGGGGACUGUCGCGAAAAUCGCGGAGAGCUAUCAAGAUG
rfam:Lactobacillus buchneri CD034, complete genome.